CUGACCUUGUCCUUUGGAAUCUCAGCUGUGCUAGCACAUCUUUGAGCCAGAAGCCCGAGAGUCACGUUUGAUUCCUUCUCUUUCUAACUAGCAAGUCCUGCCUAUGCCACCUCUAAGAGGCAUCUUACACCCAUCUGCAUUUCACUUUACCUUCCAGAAGGCAUCUCAAGAUGAAGGUUUCCUAUUUGUGAUUAUGAAAAAAAUGUCAAGAACAAGUCCGUUGGUGUUCUUAGACCGAAGUCAGAACAACAGACCUAGCACUGUGGGAGAUUCUGAGGGUACAGAGGAGAACUGAAGAGACUUGGUAUUCACUAAGGGAAGAGCCAAACUUCAAGGCGACUUAAACCUUUAUUUGGGGGGUCCUCUUUAGGAAAAGAACAUUAAAUUACAUACACACAGUUAGAUUCAGGGCCAGGGAGGAGGUCUUGCA